rnacentral:rRNA from 1 species
UACGAAGGGGGCUAGCGUUGUUCGGAAUUACUGGGCGUAAGGCGUGCGCAGGCGGCUUCUCAAGUCAGGGGUGAAAGCCCAGAGCUCAACUCUGGAAUUGCCUUUGAGACUGAGAGGCUUGAGUACGGGAGAGGUGAGUGGAAUUCCCAGUGUAGAGGUGAAAUUCGUAGAUAUUGGGAAGAACACCGGUGGCGAAGGCGGCUCACUGGCCCGAAACUGACGCUCAUGCACGACAGCGUGGGGAUCAAACAGG